rnacentral:misc_RNA from 1 species
AGUACCGGCCGCUGCGUC